CUACGGGUCGCUCCAGUGGGGAAUAUUGGACAAUGGGGGAAACCCUGAUCCAGCAAUGCCGCGUGUGUGAAGAAGGCCUGCGGGUUGUAAAGCACUUUCGGUUGGGAGGACUGCUUCUAGCACUAAUAUUGUUGGAAGUUGACGUUACCUUCAGAAGAAGCACUGGCUAACUCCGUGCCAGCAGCCGCAGUAAUACGGAGGGUGCAAGCGUUAAUCGGAAUUACUGGGCGUAAAGCGCGCGUAGUCGGCUAGAUCAGUCGGGUGUGAAAGCCCCGGGCUUAACCUGGGAACUGCAUCCGAUACUGUCUAGAUUGAGUACAGGAGAGGAGAGUGGAAUUCCACAUGUAGCGGUGAAAUGCGUAGAUAUGUGGAGGAACACCAAUGGCGAAGGCAGCUCUCUGGCCUGAUACUGACGCUGAGGUGCGAAAGCGUGGGGAGCAAACAGGAUUAGAUACCCCAGUAGUC
rnacentral:rRNA from 1 species